GGCUCAACAGUCACAAAGUGGAUCCAGCACUUACUUUUGGUUCAAAGGACUUGCUGUAUAUUUUGGUUCCAUGUAAGGGGUCGUUUGGUGUAUGGUAUAAGCUAGGAUAUCUCAAAACUAAUUUUUUGUGGGAUAAAUUUAUAUCUUAUACCAAACAAGGUAUAAAAUGCAUCCCAACUUAAAAGAUGGGAUAUCCUUCCUAUUCCACUCAUCCUUUGAUGGUAUAAAAUAAUCCCAAGAGAUAGAGAUAAAUUAAUCCCGAAAUUAUAAUACGGGAUAAUUUUGACUACCUACCGAACGACCCAGGUGUUUUAAACACUUAAAACUAUACACUCCCCCUUCCUUUAUUUUCUCUCCCCUUUCCACACCAGCACAUCUCCUCGUGCACCACCACAGCUCCGCACGCACCAUCUCCUAGUCUCGUGUCUCAACCACCAGGUAGACGGACCUGACCCAUAGGAUCUUCAUCAGUGAAAUCUUGGGAGUGCUCCAUUUGCUUCGGAGCUGCAGUCUAUUGACUUACGAGUUCGAGAAGUAGACGUUGGAAGAUUAGAUACGCUUCAAGAUAUUUUCUCACACCGCGCCGCGCUAUAGUCGGUCGGGCAAGCACGUAGAUGUGCACACCACUGCAGUGAGCAGAUUAUGAGAUUACUCCGGAUACGGGAUGACAUGAUAUAUGGAUCGGGCUGUACGUUCCACAGCACUAAACAUUUAUGGAUCGGGUUGUUCAGGUAGACAGACAGGCGAUUUAGCUCAGUAGGACUUCCACUCAGCGGUAGUCAGUGCGCUCCACUUGGUCUGGAGCUGCAGUUUAUUUUGGUAUGCUAUUUUCGACAUGUAUAUAUGGGUAUGACGGGGCCCUGUCCCGUCCUUUCUAUAGCUUUGUUCUCCAUUAGAGGUCUGUAGACAGUUGUGUGUAGUUGGCAUGUGAUGUAGCCUUGUCAGCACCUAUUCUUUUGUGCACAGCAUAUGUAGCGGCCUAGUCGGCUUGCACAGUUCUUUACAGUAUUUAUAUACACAGGUGGUUGUGAGUUCUUGAUGCAUAGUUCAUGGUAUUGUGCUUGUAAAAGUUAGUAUAGCUUAGUUAUAAGUCAUAUAUGGGCCACGUUGUUAUUCAGUGAUAUUCACAUGCGAGUAUAAGGGUGUCUGGUCAGUAGAAGUCAGGUACUCGUCACGACUCAUCGAUUUGGGUCGUGACAGAAAAAGCCUUCGUAAUCAAGAGUUCUAGGUAAGGGUUCUGAUGAUCCCCUAGAGAAUGUGUUAGACACCCUAGUAUUGAGGAUCCAUACUGUACGGCUGACCUUCGAAUUCCAAUGUGUGAAUAUUUGCAUGAACUACUUAUU